UACGGAAGGCAGCAGUGGGGAAUAUUGCACAAUGGGCGCAAGCCUGAUGCAGCCAUGCCGCGUGUAUGAAGAAGGCCUUCGGGUUGUAAAGUACUUUCAGUCGUGAGGAAGGUGUUAAGGUUAAUAACCUUAGCAAUUGACGUUAGCGACAGAAGAAGCACCGGCUAACUCCGUGCCAGCAGCCGCGGUAAUACGGAGGGUGCGAGCGUUAAUCGGAAUUACUGGGCGUAAAGGGCACGCAGGCGGUUAAUUAAGUUGGAUGUGAAAUCCCCGGGCUUAACCUGGGAAUGGCAUUCAAGACUGGUUAGCUAGAGUCUUGUAGAGGGGGUAGAAUUCCAUGUGUAGCGGUGAAAUGCGUAGAGAUGUGGAGAAAUACCGGCGGCGAAGGCGGCCCCUGGGACAAAGACUGACGCUCAUGUGCGAAAGCGUGGGGAGCAAACAGGGAUUAGAUACC
rnacentral:rRNA from 1 species